GCCUGGGUGGCUCAGUCAGUCAAGCACCCGACUUCAAUUCAGGUCAUGAUCUCACAGUUUAUGGGUUCGAGCCCCACUUCAGGCU
rnacentral:tRNA from 1 species